AUGCUUUAUCCCCUCCAAAUGCCUGAACUACUUAGAGAUAUUUAUAAGCCCUAUUCUCGAUAUCCAUCUAUUGACAAAAGUGGGGGACUAGAUUUGCUGAACAAAAGUACGACAAGAAAAAUCAUGGAGCAGGUCCUCAAGGAAUCCAUUUCUAAGCACUUGGAGGAGAAGAAAAUGAUAAGGAACAGUCAGCACAGAUUCACCGAGGCAAGUUAUGCCUGACCAACCUGAUUGCCUUCUACAAUAACAUAACUGACUCUGUGAAUGUGGGAAGACCAAUGGACAUGAUACGUUGACUUUUGAUACAGUUUUGCACAAUGUUCUCAAAAGCAGGCUAAGGAAGUAUGAGUCGGUUGAAAGGUCUAUAAGGUGGAUAGAAAACUGGCUGGCUGGUCAGGAUCAGGGAGUAGUAAUCAAUGGCUUGAUGUCUAGUUGGCAGCCAGUAUCAAGUGGAGUGCCCCAGGGGUCAGUCCUGGGCCUGGUUUUGUUCAAUAUUUUCAUUAAUGAUUUGGAAGAUGGGAUGGAUUGCAGAUGACACCAAG
rnacentral:lncRNA from 1 species